GACGAACGCUGGCGGCGUGCUUAACACAUGCAAGUCGAGCGGUAAGGCCCUUCGGGUACGACGAGCGGCGAACGGGUGAGUAACACGUGGGUGACCUGCCUUUAGCUCUGGGAUAAGCCUGGGAAACUGGGUCUAAUACCGGAUAUGACCUCAUGACGCAUGUUGUGGGGUGGAAAGCCUUGUGCGGCUAGAGAUGGGCCCGCGGCCUAUCAGCUUGUUGGUGGGGUGANGGCCUACCAAGGCGACGACGGGUAGCCGGCCUGAGAGGGCGACCGGCCACACUGGGACUGAGACACGGCCAGACUCCUACGGGAGGCAGCAGU
rnacentral:rRNA from 1 species